rnacentral:rRNA from 1 species
AUUGAACGCUGGCGGCAUGCUUUACACAUGCAAGUCGAACGGUAACAGGUUAAGCUGACGAGUGGCGAACGGGUGAGUAAUGCAUCGGAACGUGCCCGAUCGUGGGGGAUAACGCAGCGAAAGCUGCGCUAAUACCGCAUACGAUCUGAGGAUGAAAGCGGGGGACCGUAAGGCCUCGCGCGAUCGGAGCGGCCGAUGUCAGAUUAGGUAGUUGGUGGGGUAAAGGCCCACCAAGCCGAUGAUCUGUAGCUGGUCUGAGAGGACGACCAGCCACACUGGGACUGAGACACGGCCCAGACUCCUACGGGAGGCAGCAGUGGGGAAUUUUGGACAAUGGGCGAAAGCCUGAUCCAGCAAUGCCGCGUGCAGGAAGAAGGCCUUCGGGUUGUAAACUGCUUUUGUACGGAGCGAAAAGGUCCUUUCUAAUACAAGGGGCUCAUGACGGUACCGUAAGAAUAAGCACCGGCUAACUACAUGCCAGCCGCCGCGGUAAUAC